CCAGACUCCUACGGGAGGCAGCAGUGGGGAAUAUUGCACAAUGGGGGGAACCCUGAUGCAGCGACGCCGCGUGAGGGAAGAAGGUUUUCGGAUUGUAAACCUCUGUCCUCUGUGACGAUAAUGACGGUAGCAGAGGAGGAAGCCACGGCUAACUACGUGCCAGCAGCCGCGGUAAUACGUAGGUGACAAGCGUUGUCCGGAUUUACUGGGUGUAAAGGGCGCGUAGGCGGACUGUCAAGUCAGUCGUGAAAUACCGAAGCUUAACUUCGGGGCUGCGAUUGAAACUGACAGCCUUGAGUAUCGGAGAGGAAAGCGGAAUUCCUAGUGUAGCGGUGAAAUGCGUAGAUAUUAGGAGGAACACCAGUGGCGAAGGCGGCUUUCUGGACGACAACUGACGCUGAGGCGCGAAAGUGUGGGGAGCAAACAGGAUUAGAUACCCUUGUA
rnacentral:rRNA from 1 species